rnacentral:rRNA from 1 species
AGAGUUUGAUCCUGGCUCAGGACGAACGCUGGCGGCGCGCCUAACACAUGCAAGUCGAACGAGCGAGAGAGAGCUUGCUUUCUCGAGCGAGUGGCGAACGGGUGAGUAACGCGUGAGGAACCUGCCUCAAAGAGGGGGACAACAGUUGGAAACGACUGCUAAUACCGCAUAAGCCCACGACCCGGCAUCGGGUAGAGGGAAAAGGAGCAAUCCGCUUUGAGAUGGCCUCGCGUCCGAUUAGCUAGUUGGUGAGGUAAUGGCCCACCAAGGCGACGAUCGGUAGCCGGACUGAGAGGUUGAACGGCCACAUUGGGACUGAGACACGGCCCAGACUCCUACGGGAGGCAGCAGUGGGGAAUAUUGCACAAUGGGGGAAACCCUGAUGCAGCGACGCCGCGUGGAGGAAGAAGGUCUUCGGAUUGUAAACUCCUGUUGUUGAGGAAGAUAAUGACGGUACUCAACAAGGAAGUGACGGCUAACUACGUGCCAGCAGCCGCGGUAAAACGUAGGUCACAAGCGUUGUCCGGAAUUACUGGGUGUAAAGGGAGCGCAGGCGGGAAGACAAGUUGGAAGUGAAAUCCAUGGGCUCAACCCAUGAACUGCUUUCAAAACUGUUUUUCUUGAGUAGUGCAGAGGUAGGCGGAAUUCCCGGUGUAGCGGUGGAAUGCGUAGAUAUCGGGAGGAACACCAGUGGCGAAGGCGGCCUACUGGGCACCAACUGACGCUGAGGCUCGAAAGUGUGGGUAGCAAACAGGAUUAGAUACCCUGGUAGUCCACACCGUAAACGAUGAUUACUAGGUGUUGGAGGAUUGACCCCUUCAGUGCCGCAGUUAACACAAUAAGUAAUCCACCUGGGGAGUACGACCGCAAGGUUGAAACUCAAAGGAAUUGACGGGGGCC